ensembl:lncRNA
AUGGAGCGCAUGGAAGAGUUCAUUUGUCGCAACUGUAACAUGACAUUCCGGUCAUUUGGCCUUUUGGAUAAGCACAAGACCCGGUUCUGUAUUGGAAGUGAAAUAGGAGACCCAGUAAAGUUAAAGACAAGCUGUGUGGAAAUGAGACAGCCAGAGAGAGCAGCUUUGAGAGGAGUUGCCCCUAAAAGGACACAAACUCCUGAUCUUACUUCUCUGAGAGAGCAGAGGAAUCAGCUGUUGAGGCAAAAGGACAGGCAAAAGAUUGACCUUCAAGACAGUACAGCUGAGAGCCAGGUCAUCAACCAGCUCACUGUUGAGUUUCACAAGCUCAGGAUGUCAAUUGAAGAAAGCCUGUCCAGAAGACAUACAGAGAGGGUUAAUGACGAGAGGCUUCGGGAAGUGUUUGAGCACCAUGGACAGAAACUGGCUGAGAUCAGAGCACAUAACGCUCAGCUGGUGCAGCAGAGGAAAGGUGAACCCCUAUUUACACUCACAUACACAAAAAAUCAUAUUACAACAGGUAAGCUUGAUUAUUGCAGUUAAACAUAUAGGCCAAAUAGAGACCAACUCAGAUAACCACUCUGUACAUUUGUGGUGAGCAGAAAAAGAUAUCGGACUGCACAACACAGCAAACCUUGAGGUGGAUGGGCUACAACAGCAGAUGACCACAUCAGGUUCCACUUCUCUCAGCCAAGAACAAAAAGCUGAGGCUACAGUGGGCACAAGAUAACAAAAACUGGGCAGUUUAAGACUGGGAAAACGUAGCCUGGUCUGAUGAAUUUUGAUGGUAGGGUCAGAAUUUAGUGCCAACAGCAUGAGUCCAUGGUCCCAACCUGCCUUGUGUCAACUGGUGGUAGGCUGGUGGAGGUGGUGUAAUGGUGUGGGGACUGUUUUCCUGGCACACUUUGGGCUUGUUUAUACCAGUCAAUCAUUGAUUGAAUGCCAAAGCCCAUAUGAAUAUUAUUGCUGACCAUGUGCAUCCCAUCAUGCUCACAAUUUACCCAUUUUGUAAUGGUUACUUCCAGUAUUCAGUCAUCUCAGACGGUUUUCAUGACCAUGAAAAGGAGCAGUGUUCUUCAUUUACUUUCGCACUCACUAGAUCUGAAUCCAAUAGAACACCUUUGGGAUGUGAUAGAACGAGAGGUUCACAGCUUGAAAGUACACCUGAAAACACACUUGCAUGAUGCAAUCACAUCACCAUGGACCAGAAUCUUAAAAGAAUGUUUCCUACAUCUUGUGGAUUACAAGCCAUGAAGAUUUGAGGCUCUUUUAAAAGCAAAGGGAGACCCUACCCAACAUUAGCAUAGUUUUCCCAAUGAAGAGCUAGGUGAGUGUAUUGUGUGUGUGUGUGCAUGUGUGUGUAGAAAUAGAACGCAGGCUGGCAGAGUUGUCUGGUCAUGGCAAAUCAUCAGUUCAUCUGGAGGACCUGCUGCAGGAGCUGAAAGAGCAAGAGGAGAAGAAUGAAGAUAUUCUGCACCAACUCAGCACUCAGAUCAAUGGCCUACAGGGGUAAGGGAGAGAGAGAAAUUGUCUAUAAGCUCAGAUAUAGCUUUGCCUCCUUAGUUGAGAAAGUGAUUAAAUGUCCCACCUGUUCUUUACUUUCUAUGUCUGGUUGAACUGAAAAAAAAUAUUUUACAAUAGAGUACAGAUAGAUAGUCUGUC